CAAGAGCGUAUGUAAAAGUUGUUGCAGUUAAAAAGCUCGUAGUUGAACCUUGGGUUUGGUUGGCCGGUCCGCUUUUUUGCGAGUACUGGAUUCAACCGAGCCUUUCCUUCUGGCUAACCAGUCGUUUCGGCGGCUGGCGAACCAGGAUUUUUACUUUGAGAAAAUUAGAGUGUUCAAAGCAGGCAUUAGCUUGAAUAUAUUAGCAUGGAAUAAUAGAAUAGGACGUUAUGGUUCUAUUUUGUUGGUUUCUAGGACCAUCGUAAUGAUUAAUAGGGACGGUCGGGGGCAUCAGUAUUCAGUUGUCAGAGGUGAAAUUCUUGGAUUUUCUGAAGACUAACUACUGCGAAAGCAUUUGCCAAGGACGUUUUCAUUAA
rnacentral:rRNA from 1 species